CUUCCGUGUAGAAAAGGAGCCCCGACUUAGGGCUGAGAGGGGAUUUUGGGGGGGACUCUACUCUGCCGUCUUCUGGGUCUGCUAGCUUUCCGAUUACAAUCGUUAUUCCUUGUUCAAACAUCGUCUCCCAAUUUACUGGCCUGUCGUGGGAUUGGACACUCCUGAGAGCAAACACUCCAUCAAGUCCAUGACUCCAUAUCCUGUGAUGAGGAAAACUGAGGCCUAGAAAUUUGAAGUAACCUCCAGACUCACCCGACCAGCAAGAGGUGACAGUGGCGUCAGACCUCCGUCUCUUUGCCCUCACAACCUGAACUCUUUUUUUUUUUUCCUCACAGCCUGAACUC